rnacentral:rRNA from 1 species
UGGGGAAUUUUGCACAAUGGGGGAAACCCUGAUGCAGCGACGCCGCGUGAUUUAGAAGGCCUUCGGGUUGUAAAAAUCUUUUCUAUGGGAAGAAAAUGACAGUACCAUAGGAAUAAGGACUGGCUAAUUACGUGCCAGCAGCCGCGGUAAUACGUAAGGUCCGAGCGUUGUCCGGAAUCAUUGGGCGUAAAGGGUACGUAGGCGGGUAAGCAAGUUAGAAGUGAAAUCCUGUAGCUCAACUACAGUAAGCUUUUAAAACUGCUCAUCUUGAGAUAUGGAAGGGAAAGUGGAAUUCCUAGUGUAGCGGUGAAAUGCGCAGAUAUUAGGAGGAAUACCGGUGGCGAAGGCGACUUUCUGGCCAUAAUCUGAAGCUGAGGUACGAAAGCGUGGGUAGCAAACAGG